UACGAAGGGGGCUAGCGUUGCUCGGAAUCACUGGGCGUAAGGGUGCGUAGGCGGGUCUUUAAGUCAGAGGUGAAAUCCUGGAGCUCAACUCCAGAACUGCCUUUGAUACUGGACGACUUCGUGAGUCGGGAGAGGUGAGUGGAACUGCGAGUGUAGAGGUGAAAAUUCGUAGAUAUUCGCAAGAACACCAGUGGCGAAGGCGGCUCACUGGCCCGGUACUGACGCUGAGGUGCGAAAGCGUGGGGGAGCAAACAAGG
rnacentral:rRNA from 1 species